rnacentral:rRNA from 1 species
CAAUAGCGUAUAUUAAAGUUGUUGCAGUUAAAAGCUCGUAGUUGGAUUUCUGGGAGGGUGCCAAUGUCCGCCGAAGCGCGUGCGCAGCGGCGCCCUUCCAUCCUUCUGUUAACGCCUCUUGGCAUUCAUUUGCUGGUGGCGGGCUCAGAUAUUUUACCUUUGAGAAAAUUAGAGUGUUUCAGGCAGGCUAGGCCGGAAUACAUUAGCAUGGAAUAAUGGAAUAGGACUACGGUCUCUUUGUUGGUUUGAGGGACUGCAGUAAUGAUUAAUAGGGAUAGUUGGGGCGAUUAGUAUUUAAUUGUCAGAGGUGGAAUUCUCGGAUUUGUUUAAAGAACUAACUUAUGCGAAAGACAUUUGUCCAAGGAAUGUUUUCUA